CACACAGAGACACAUACCGGCAGACACACACACAGAUGCACACACGUGCACACAUGCACACAGGCACAUACGCAGUCUAUCUUAAACCAUCAUCCCCCUCAUAGCUCCUCUUCCUCAAAGCAGCGUUUCUGCUUAACUGUUGAUGAAAAACUAGCUGGUUUCCAACAGAAUGGUUUAAAGGCACGACGGUUUGUCCUCCCUCAAAAUUCUGUGGGAAUUCUGUGGAAGGUCCAAGAAGACUGAGUGAUGCCUUUGGCACCUUGAUUCUCUAACUGCCUUAGGCUUCCUCAAAGAGGGUGGAUCCAAGACCAAGAUUUACACCACACUGGUAGGUUUGCUGCUUUCAUCCCCAGCCUGUUGUCACGGAACACACACUCAGCAGUGGACUGGUGGGGUGGCCCAGGAGGUGAAGUGCUCGCUGCAUCAACAGGAGGACUUGGGUCCCGAUCGCCAGCACCCGUGGAGAAGCCAGGCUUGAGGGCGCAUGCCUGGAACUCCCGUGCUGGCUGGCGCCGGGGUAUGUAGAUCCAUCUUGCAAGCCAGACGGUUUAGCCAGAACAACAAGCUUCAGGUUCAGCAGGAGACCCUGUCUCAACAAAUAAGCUGAAUCAUCUCACUUAAUAUUACACUUUUCAUAUCCACUCAUUUUCCUACAAAUUGCAUUUUCUUUACAGCCGAGUAAGAUUCCAUUGCAUGUCUGCACCACAUUUUGCCGAUCCAGUCUUCUGUGGAUGGACAUCUAGGCUGACUCCAUUUCCAGCUGUAUUAAAUAGGCAAUAAAAACCGUGGAUGAACAAGUGUCUCUGUGGUGGGAUAUGGAUAGGGUACGUGCCCAGAGUGGAAUAUCGGCGUUUUGAGGAACAUCUACAUUAAUACCCACAAUGGCUACCCUAGUUUAUAUUCCCACCAGCGAAUAGUGUUCUUUCUCUACAGCCUCUUCAACACUUACUGUUAGAUUUCUGGAUGAUAGUUAUUAUGCCUACGGUGAAGUGGUACAUUAAAGGAGUUUUAAUUUGCAUUUCCCCGAGGACUAGGGCUGUUGAACACUUUUCAAAAUACUUAUUGGCUGUGUUUCUUCUUUGGAGAACUGCCUGUUCAUUUCACCAGCCUAUUUGUUGAUUGGCAGUUUUGAUUAUUUUGGUAUUUCACUUUUGUACUUCUUUGUAAAUUCUAGAUAUUAGCCCUCUGUCUGAAGUAUAGUUGGCAAAUAUUUUCUCUCAUUCUGUAGGCUAUCUUAAAAAUGCAUGGUGAUGUCUCAUAUAUCUUGUGCUAAUUAAAAAAAUAAAAAUGACAAGAAGUAAGUUGGAGAAGCAGUCAAGGAAGACAUCACAAUACCGUCUUCUGGCCUCCACAUGCCCCUGCACAGGGAUGUAGGUGUCUAUGGUGGCCAGAAGAGGCAUUGAGUCUUCUGGAGUUGGAAUUACAGUUGUUUCUGAAUGACUAUGUGGGCACCGGGAACCAACACUGGAUCCUAUGCAAGAGCGGCAAGUGCUUUGGACCACUGAGCCCUCUCCAGCCCAGCUAGCUAUCCGUUUGUAAUUCUGCUGUGAGCUCAUGUGAGUUUGUUUUCAUCCAGUCUUUUCAUCCCUUAUCCCACAGGUGGAGGGAAGCCGACUCCGUCUCUGAGACCCUUCUGCUGUCUCCUUCUUCAGUGAAGCACUAGCCGUUCACCUCUGUGUGCACAAGCAGGGUGCUGUGUGCGAAAAAUACUUGCUGGAAGUGUGGUUCUCAGGCAGCCAAAGCCAAAGCCAAGAUCUUUAUUUAAAAAAAAAUAUUGCCAGGCGGGCAAUGGUGCAUGCCUUUAAUCCCAGCACU